rnacentral:lncRNA from 1 species
GAGAGCCUUUGGCUGCUUCUGAGACCGGCUGUGGGCUGCCACCGCUGAGCGGCGCGGAGGCUGCAGCGUUCCCUCUCAGGACAGAAAGCAGGCGUUGGGGACUGUUACUCGCAGCCUGCCAGGGGCAGCAGCCGCCCCAGGUUCAAGUGGCUAUGUGCCAGGAUACUCAGGCGCGGCUGUUGGCUGCCCAUGGGAGAGCCAGUGCUCUCCGCAGGUCCAAAGUGCAAGGCCGGGCUAUUCCCGGACUUGCCUAGGAGCAGGGGCCCCCAGCGCGUCUGGGAUUGCCCCGGCGCGUCGGGCGCGCGAACUUGUGCGCAAGGGAGAAGAGCGCUUACCAUGGAACAUGGUCUGCGGGAGGCGGGCGUAGUCAUGAUGACCGCAACUGGAGCAGGAGCAAGCUCUCACCGCCCAUAGUCACUCCCAGGACCCUGGUCUUCCGCGGAGUUGCCGAGUCUGUGUUGGGCAGGGUGAUCUCUGCAGCUGGUUCCUCUUACCCACGCCGCGACUGCAGUUUCAUCCAUCCCAAGGGGGGCGGCACACACUACGGCGUGGCUCUGCGCUUUGCCUUUUCCAUAACUUCCGUAGGAUCCGCCAGCAGUGUACUUUCAGUUUCUACUUUGCGCUUGGUCUGCAGGUUCAAUCUUUGGGAUCAUCAGCAUGGAAUCUUCAUUAUCCCCUCUCUCCUGGGCACCUGCUUCCCGCGCACCUGGAUGAGGACCAGAGGAAUUCGCGAAUUUCCGAAUCACCGCAGGAAAAACCAGCUGGCCUGAAUCAAAGCAAUUCUGGGUAAAAGACUUCCCAGAUGAUCUCUCAACGCCUUGGCAACGCUUGGCGACUGGGAGCUAGAACCAUGAGUUGUUAAUGUGUGCACGGAAGCCACAAGUGUGCAGGACGCAAGCUGGGUUAUUGGAAGCGGACGACACCAAGGAGGCGUUGCCGCGGAUGUGGUGGACGAUGCCAAGUCGUCUUUUAAAAAAGGAAGUGAAGAAUGAUUAAGAGGGUCACGCCCUCUACCACUCCAACCUCUCUAAUCAGUCUCUUUCUGCUCCGUCUGCUGUACAUGCACCUGCUCAGGUGAGACCUCAAGGAAAAAUAAUCCUGUGGGUCCACCUAAUCUGGAACAAAGUAAAAGAGCAUCCAUCAAUACUUUGCACAAAAGGAAAUCCGUCUUCCUUUUAUCACAAUCACCAUAAAUCCAGACAACCACAGUUGCUAACAGUAUGAGUUCUGCAGUUAUACAGAACUAAGUCCAUUAGCUGUGUGACCCAUGGCCAAAUAUUUUCCUUCUCUGUGCCUGCAUUUCUUCAUCUGCAAACUGGAAUAAUGAUAGCAACUACUUCAGAGGACUAUGCUAGAGUGCAAUGGCGCAAUCUUGGCUCACUGCAACCUCC